rnacentral:rRNA from 1 species
UACGAAGGGGGCUAGCGUUGUUCGGAAUUACUGGGCGUAAAGCGGCACGUAGGCGGACUAUUAAGUCAGGGGUGAAAUCCCGGGGCUCAACCCCGGAACUGCCUUUAUACUGGUAGUCUCGAAGUCCGGGAAGGAGGUGAGUGGAAAUUCCGGAGUGGUAGGAGGGUAGCAAAAUUCGUAGAUAUUACGGAGGAACACCAGUG